rnacentral:rRNA from 1 species
UACGAACUGUGCAAACGUUAUUCGGAAUCACUGGGCUUAAAGGGUGCGUAGGCGGGCAGGUAAGUCCGUGGUGAAAUCUCUGAGCUUAACUCAGAAACUGCCAUGGAUACUAUUUGUCUUGAAUGUUGUGGAGGUAAGCGGAAUAUGUCAUGUAGCGGUGAAAUGCUUAGAUAUGACAUAGAACACCAAUUGCGAAGGCAGCUUACUACACAAAUAUUGACGCUGAGGCACGAAAGCGUGGGGAUCAAACAGG